rnacentral:lncRNA from 1 species
AUGGUUUAUUGAAGCUUAUUGGACAAUUGGUGCAGACCUAGGGCACGGAGUUAGGCCAGAGAGACAAUCCAUUUUUCUGUCACAUUAACUUUACCACCACCCGUUAAACAAGGCACACUUAAUCCCAUCAUCAUUCAUUUCAAAAUAAGCAAAACAACACACAUUUUGAUUUAUAAAACAAUUUAUUAAGGAUGAUUCUGUUAAGGAGAGUGUGUUGUGUUCUCUGUUGCGCCUCCUGAAUGAAACUUUGCCAUCUAUGAUUUCACCGGCAUGUGUUCCGCCAUGCUUUCCGCUCUAUUCCCAUGGAUCCAACCUUCAUUUAUUUUUCCUCUUUCCCAUCCUCGACAUUGGAUGUGCCACUUCACGUGUACCUACUAAUCUAAAUAUUUCUCUCUGCUCUUUUUUUCAAAUAUAUUAUUACUUCAAAACUUUUCAUCGUUGACAUAAAACGCUGAACCUCACCCAUUCCACAACACAAUUUUUUACUCCUUUGUCUGAAAUCAAUCCAAUUGGAGGGUACCUUAACAAGCAGUACUUAGGAAGCAUAUUAUAUUAUGCUAAUAAUAGUUAAGGUGAGGGAGAGAGAGAAUCCCGGAGAACCGUGCGUGGGCUUAAUAUUAAACUCAUUAAUUAUAAGCUGAUUAAAAUAAUGCAAGACAACUCAGCUCUCGCUUUACCGUUUUAAUACUAGAAAUUAUUGGAGUUAAACACAAAAGGAAAGAGAUUAAUGAAGGCAUUAGUGUUUGUUUUUAAUUUGUUGUGUUUGGAAAAGAGCGCGAAUAGAGACAAAGAAUGGUCGAUUCAAGAUGAUAUCUGAACCGUUGAGUCUACCGGUCUGAGGCUCUCUUUCUCUCAUUUUACUGUCUAGUCUCAGCUUUUGGACACAAAAGGGACAGCUCAAUGGAGUCCAUGCCCAGCGAGCGAAACCCCAUACUAUCAUGUCGUUGUCAUCUCCUCCCCAUAAUACCCUUUUCCCACGCCACCAAAACCACAGCAUCCAAGGCUAUUUCAGUAAUCUCGUGAACCCUCACCAAUAAUUGGGGUAGUGUAGUGCUCAUGUCUCAUGUGUGUAUGCUACAGAAUUACCAGUGAAGAAAACCAAUAACGGAUUUUCUUUUUGUGAUUAUUCGAAGAAAGAAAGAAAAAAAAAUGAGGGCAGCGAGGGUUUAGGUUUUGUUGGCAUACGUGUAACUAAACUACAAUACACAAUACACUACGCAGACCGUACACUGUUAAAAAAGCUUCUGAUGAGGGAGAAGAAGGGAACUUUGAUUGAGAUGCAACGUGCAGCUUGUUUGUACUUUAAUCGAUUCCUCACCAGAGCCAAUGGAUUCCUCUCUGCCCCUCUUGUUUUUCUUCUUCUACUUCUUCUAUACCGUUUUCCGGUUAAUUACCGGAGUGGUUAGCCUAAGCCUUUAAUUAAAAACAUAAAUGGCAUAUUUAUAUGAUUAAUCAAACAAUUAAAGUGUAGUUUAAUGUUUAAUUUAUUUGGGAAAGCAGAGGAAUUUGAUACGUAAAAGGAAGCGGUUGGUGCAUUGAAUUGUGUGAUUU